GACCGCGUAGCUCAGUUGGCAGAGCAUUGGGCUAGUAUUCCUAAAGGUCGUAGGUUCGAUUCCCACCGUGGACG
rnacentral:tRNA from 1 species